AUUGAACGCUGGCGGCAGGCCUAACACAUGCAAGUCGAGCGAGCGGCGGACGGGUGAGCAAUGUCUGGGAAACUGCCUGAUGGAGGGGGAUAACUACUGGAAACUGUAGCUAAAACCGCAUACCACCGGAUGUGCCGAGGUGGGUUUGGCUAGUAGGGGGGGUAAAGGCUCACCUAGGCGACGAUCCAUACCUGGUCUGAGAGGAUGACCAGGCACACUGGGACUGAGACACGGUCCAGACUCCUACGGGAGGCAGCAGUGGGGAAUAUUGCACAAUGGGAGAAAGCCUGAUACAGCCAUGCCGCGUGUGUGAAGAAGGCCUUCGGAUUGUAAAGUACUUUAAGCGGGGAGGCGUUACCCACAGAAGAAGCACCGGCUAACUCCGUGCCAGCAGCCGCGGUAAUUC
rnacentral:rRNA from 1 species